rnacentral:rRNA from 1 species
AGAUUAAGUUAUUAAGGGCGCACGGUGGAUGCCUUGGCACUAGAAGCCGAUGAAGGACGUUACUAACGACGAUAUGCUUUGGGGAGCUGUAAGUAAGCUUUGAUCCAGAGAUUUCCGAAUGGGGAAACCCAGCAUGAGUUAUGUCAUGUUAUCGAUAUGUGAAUACAUAGCAUAUCAGAAGGCACACCCGGAGAACUGAAACAUCUUAGUACCCGGAGGAAGAGAAAGAAAAUUCGAUUCCCUUAGUAGCGGCGAGCGAAACGGGAAGAGCCCAAACCAACAAGCUUGCUUGUUGGGGUUGUAGGACACUCUAUACGGAGUUACAAAGGACGACAUUAGACGAAUCAUCUGGAAAGAUGAAUCAAAGA